rnacentral:rRNA from 1 species
UACGUAGGGUGCGAGCGUUAAUCGGAAUUACUGGGCGUAAAGCGCGUGUAGGCGGCCCGGUAAGUCCGCUGUGAAAGUCCAGGGCUCAACCCUGGGAUGCCGGUGGAUACUGUCGGGCUCGAGUCCGGAAGAGGCGAGUGGAAUUCCUGGUGUAGCGGUGAAAUGCGCAGAUAUCAGGAGGAACACCAAUGGCGAAGGCAGCUCGCUGGGACGUGACUGACGCUGAGACGCGAAAGCGUGGGGAGCAAACAGG